AGUGAACGCUGGCGGUAGGCCUAACACAUGCAAGUCGAACGGCAGCACAGUAAGAGCUUGCUCUUACGGGUAGCGAGUGGCGGACGGGUGAGGAAUACAUCGGAAUCUACUUUUUCGUGGGGGAUAACGUAGGGAAACUUACGCUAAUACCGCAUACGACCUACGGGUGAAAGCAGGGGAUCUUCGGACCUUGCGCGAUUGAAUGAGCCGAUGUCGGAUUAGCUAGUUGGCGGGGUAAAGGCCCACCAAGGCGACGAUCCGUAGCUGGUCUGAGAGGAUGAUCAGCCACACUGGAACUGAGACACGGUCCAGACUCCUACGGGAAGCAGCAGUGGGGAAUAUUGGACAAUGGGCGCAAGCCUGAUCCAGCCAUACCGCGUGGGUGAAGAAGGCCUUCGGGUUGUAAAGCCCUUUUGUUGGGAAAGAAAAGCAGCAGGUUAAUACCCCGCUGUUCUGACGGUACCCAAAGAAUAAGCACCGGCUAACUUCGUG
rnacentral:rRNA from 1 species